rnacentral:rRNA from 1 species
GAAUGCUGACAUAAGUAACGAUAAAGCGGGUGAAAAGCCCGCUCGCCGGAAGACCAAGGGUUCCUGUCCAACGUUAAUCGGGGCAGGGUGAGUCGACCCCUAAGGCGAGGCCGAAAGGCGUAGUCGAUGGGAAACAGGUUAAUAUUCCUGUACUUGGUGUUACUGCGAAGGGGGGACGGAGAAGGCUAUGUUGGCCGGGCGACGGUUGUCCCGGUUUAAGCGUGUAGGCUGGUUUUCCAGGCAAAUCCGGAAAAUCAAGGCUGAGGCGUGAUGACGAGGCACUACGGUGCUGAAGCAACAAAUGCCCUGCUUCCAGGAAAAGCCUCUAAGCAUCAGGUAACAUCAAAUCGUACCCCAAACCGACACAGGUGGUCAGGUAGAGAAUACCAAGGCGCUUGAGAGAACUCGGGUGAAGGAACUAGGCAAAAUGGUGCCGUAACUUCGGGAGAAGGCACGCUGAUAUGUAGGUGAAGUCCCUCGCGGAUGGAGCUGAAAUCAGUCGAAGAUACCAGCUGGCUGCAACUGUUUAUUAAAAACACAGCACUGUGCAAACACGAAAGUGGACGUAUACGGUGUGACGCCUGCCCGGUGCCGGAAGGUUAAUUGAUGGGGUUAGCCGCAAGGCGAAGCUCUUGAUCGAAGCCCCGGUAAACGGCGGCCGUAACUAUAACGGUCCUAAGGUAGCGAAAUUCCUUGUCGGGUAAGUUCCGACCUGCACGAAUGGCGUAAUGAUGGCCAGGCUGUCUCCACCCGAGACUCAGUGAAAUUGAACUCGCUGUGAAGAUGCAGUGUACCCGCGGCAAGACGGAAAGACCCCGUGAACCUUUACUAUAGCUUGACACUGAACAUUGAGCCUUGAUGUGUAGGAUAGGUGGGAGGCUUAGAAGUGUGGACGCCAGUCUGCAUGGAGCCGACCUUGAAAUACCACCCUUUAAUGUUUGAUGUUCUAACGUUGACCCGUAAUCCGGGUUGCGGACAGUGUCUGGUGGGUAGUUUGACUGGGGCGGUCUCCUCCUAAAGAGUAACGGAGGAGCACGAAGGUUGGCUAAUCCUGGUCGGACAUCAGGAGGUUAGUGCAAUGGCAUAAGCCAGCUUGACUGCGAGCGUGACGGCGCGAGCAGGUGCGAAAGCAGGUCAUAGUGAUCCGGUGGUUCUGAAUGGAAGGGCCAUCGCUCAACGGAUAAAAGGUACUCCGGGGAUAACAGGCUGAUACCGCCCAAGAGUUCAUAUCGACGGCGGUGUUUGGCACCUCGAUGUCGGCUCAUCACAUCCUGGGGCUGAAGUAGGUCCCAAGGGUAUGGCUGUUCGCCAUUUAAAGUGGUACGCGAGCUGGGUUUAGAACGUCGUGAGACAGUUCGGUCCCUAUCUGCCGUGGGCGCUGGAGAACUGAGGGGGGCUGCUCCUAGUACGAGAGGACCGGAGUGGACGCAUCACUGGUGUUCGGGUUGUCAUGCCAAUGGCACUGCCCGGUAGCUAAAUGCGGAAGAGAUAAGUGCUGAAAGCAUCUAAGCACGAAACUUGCC